GAUUCCCUUAGUUACUGCGAGUGAAGAGGGAAAAGCUCAAAUUUAAAAUCUGGUAGUCAAUUGGCUGCUUGAAUUGUAAUCUAGAGAAGUAUUAUCCGUGCUGGACCAUAGUAUAAGUCUCCUGGAAUGGGGCAUCAUAGAGGGUGAGAAUCCCGUCUUUGACAAUGGACUUCCAGUGCAUUGUGAUAUACUCUCAACGAGUCGAGUUGUUUGGGAAUGCAGCUCUAAAUGGGUGGUAAAUUCCAUCUAAAGCUAAAUAUUGGCGAGAGACCGAUAGUGAACAAGUACCGUGAGGGAAAGAUGAAAAGAACUUUGAAAAGAGAGUUAAACAGUACGUGAAAUUGUUGAAAGGGAAACGCUUGAAGUCAGUCACAUUAAUUGGAAAUCAACUUUGCUUUUGCUUGGUGUACUUUCUGAUUUAAUGGGUCAGCAUCAAUUUUAAUCAGUGGAAAAAGAUUGUAGGGAAUGUGGCAUCCUCGGAUGUGUUUAUAGCCCUCUGUUGUAUACAUUGAUUAGGAUUGAGGAAUUCAGCACGCCGAAAGGCCAGGUUUUAACCAUGUACGUGCUUAGGAUGCUGGCAUAAUGGCUUUAAUCGACCCGUCUUGAAACACGGACCAAGGAGUCUAACAUGCCUGCAAGUGUUUGAGUGGAAAACUCAUGCGCAUAAUGAAAGUGAAAAUUGGGAUCUCUUAUAGAGAGCACUGAUGCCUGGACCAGACCUUUUGUGACGGAUCCACGGUUGAGCAUGUAUGUUGGGACCCGAAAGAUGGUGAACUAUGCCUGAAUAGGGUGAAGCCAGAGGAAACUCUGGUGGAAGCUCGCAGCGAUUCUGACGUGCAAAUCGAUCGU
rnacentral:rRNA from 1 species